AAAAAAAAAUACCUUGACAAAAAAAAGGAAUUAACGUGAGACACGGCGCCGUUAACGUCUUCUUCAUCAUCGAUCUGCUUUUUCUUCUUCUUCAUCCCAUAGACUCCUAAAUAAUUCUUCAUGUAACUUACAGGUUCAAGUUUUGUCUAGUGAACGUGAUGAUGAUGCGUAUAUGUCACUGCAGAUGGCACUCGGCUGGAAUAUAUGACGUGAAGACGAAGAUGGGAGGAACGUUUGGGACGACAAGGCUUCCACAAGAGCUAGUUCAUGAUGCUAACAAUGGUCUUGAUAUUGCUGUCAGGCUUCUUGAGCCUAUCAAUCUCUUUUUCCCCAUCUUGUCUUGCACUGAUUUUUACCAGAUAACUUUCAAGUAUUUGCUGUGUUUAUUUUUUUUAGCUGUAAUAGUGAGCAAUGGAUCCAUCAGGUUGUAAGGCAAUUAGGAAUUUAUGAACAGCUUUGUUAAAGAAGGAAGAAGAAGAAGAAGAGCUCUGAGUGGCAAGAAACAGAAGAGUGAAGAAGAAUUGUGACUGUGAGAACAAAAACAGAGAGUAAGUGAGUGAACAAGAGAAACUAAAGAUGAUGGAGACUGGAGAGGCUGGCGAGAGUAGUUGAGUUAAUGCUCUAAUCAAUGGGUGCUGAAAUUCAUUUCUGGUUGCAGCCUAAUUUAGUUUCUUCAGCCUUUUUAGCUUGUGAAGCUUCCAUAUUGUUGCUUGAGAUAGUUCUCCAAGAUCGCCAAGGUCAACCUUAUUAAACCUGCCAAUGUUCCAACAUCAACAUCUAGUGUAUUUCUUUCUAUUCUUAUGUUUAUUUUGUUUAGUUUAUUCUACGAAGUGUUGAGACA